rnacentral:lncRNA from 1 species
UACAUAUCUGUGCGCUUUCAUCUUCUUAAUUGGAUGAAAUUGUGUUUUUAUGUUAAUGUUUCCUAUAGUAGGACAAAUUUCCUCAUUACUACUGCGUUCUUGCAGCCUCCUACCCACCUCCUCCAUCACACAUCAUCCAUUUAAGCACUUAUGAAGAGAGAGAUGGAUCAGUUACGGCUCUUGUUCUUAAGAAACAAAUUGUAUGAGAGAAAACACAAAAAUAAAUGUGAAACAGAGAACAGUUGCAAACAAAAUAAAAUCCAUAUUUGGCUGUGGGAAGAAGGUCCCUUCUCAAGAUAGGAAUGCUGAUGAAAGUCCAGGACACUAGCUCAGGGACCACAGCCUCCAAGGUGGCUUCCGGAGUGUCACCGUUCGGCAAGAGUUACAUGGUGACCCACCAGGCCCACGUGGGGACAACUCCGCAUUUCCUGACAUUAAGAGACGACAUCCAUACCUCUGGAUUUACAAACUGAGCCAGGGGUGGUGAGGGGAAAGAAGGGAUUUCACAAUGAAAGGACUCAUCUUCAAAGGGUACUGGAGUUGAGGUCCUGACUGAGUCCACUCAGGGUAUUCAAGUACUGACUUAUAGACCAGAAGUCAUAAUCUGAUGAACUCAGAGUGAUCCAUCUUUCUCAAAGAAUUAAAAAGUUUUAAGCCAAUAUUUAAAAAUCUGGAUUUUUAAAAUCUUCCUUUGACAACC